CCUACGGGUUGCACCAGUGAGGAAUUUUGCGCAAUGGGGGGAACCCUGACGCAGCAACGCCGCGUGAGUGAAGAAGGCUUUUGGGUCGUAAAGCUCUGUCAUGUGGGAAGAAAUGAUUGAAGGUUAAAGGCCUUUGAUUUUGACGGUACCACAGAAGGAAGCACCGGCUAACUCCGUGCCAGCAGCCGCGGUAAUACGGGGGGUGCAAGCGUUAUUCGGAAUUAUUGGGCGUAAAGGGCGCGUAGGCGGUUCAUCAAGUCAGCUGUGAAAGCCCAGGGCUCAACCCUGGAAGAGCAGUUGAAACUGGUGGACUUGAGUAUGGGAGAGGGAAGUGGAAUUCCUGGUGUAGAGGUGAAAUUCGUAGAUAUCAGGAGGAACACCGGAGGCGAAGGCGACUUCCUGGACCAAUACUGACGCUGAGGCGCGAAGGCGUGGGUAGCGAA
rnacentral:rRNA from 1 species